CAAUAUCGGCAUCUCAGUGGAUCCUUCUUUGCCUCUGACCUCGAUACAGCUGAGGUUAGCAGACGGUACUCGCAUGGUGGGACGUUUCAAUAUGCACCAGACAGUGGGAGAUAUUCGGGCGUUCAUUGAUGCAUCAAGGCCUGGUACUGCAAGAACCUACCAGUUGCAGACUGUGGGUUUCCCUCCUAAGCAGCUCGCUGAUUUGUCUCAGACGAUCGAGCAACUAGGCCUCGCAAAUUCGGUUGUAAUUCAAAAGCUGUAGUUAAGGCUGCAAAGAGUACUGGAUCUUGG
rnacentral:misc_RNA from 1 species